rnacentral:rRNA from 1 species
UUUUAUGGAGAGUUUGAUCCUGGCUCAGGAUGAACGCUGGCGGCGUGCCUAAUACAUGCAAGUCGAGCGAACGGACGAGAAGCUUGCUUCUCUGAUGUUAGCGGCGGACGGGUGAGUAACACGUGGAUAACCUACCUAUAAGACUGGGAUAACUUCGGGAAACCGGAGCUAAUACCGGAUAAUAUUUUGAACCGCAUGGUUCAAAAGUGAAAGACGGUCUUGCUGUCACUUAUAGAUGGAUCCGCGCUGCAUUAGCUAGUUGGUAAGGUAACGGCUUACCAAGGCAACGAUGCAUAGCCGCCCUGAGAGGGUGAUCGGCCACACUGGAACUGAGACACGGUCCAGACUCCUACGG